rnacentral:rRNA from 1 species
CUACGGGUCGCUCCAGUCGGGAAUAUUGCGCAAUGGAGGAAACUCUGACGCAGUGACGCCGCGUGCAGGAAGAAGGUUUUCGGAUUGUAAACUGCUUUAGACAGGGACGAAACAAAUGACGGUACCUGUAGAAUAAGCUCCGGCUAACUACGUGCCAGCAGCCGCGGUAAUACGUAGGGAGCAAGCGUUAUCCGGAUUUAUUGGGUGUAAAGGGUGCGUAGACGGAUAAACAAGUUAGUUGUGAAAUACCUCGGCUUAACUGAGGAACUGCAACUAAAACUAUAUAUCUUGAGUACUGGAGGGGAAAGCGGAAUUCCUAGUGUAGCGGUGAAAUGCGUAGAUAUUAGGAAGAACACCGGUGGCGAAGGCGGCUUUCUGGACAGCAACUGACGUUGAGGCACGAAAGUGUGGGGAGCAAACAGGAUUAGAUACCCUCGUAGUC